CCUUUGUCUAUUGUUUGUCGCUCUCUCUAUGCCUUCAUCUAUAGCAGGCUGUUCAGGGAAGGUAGACACAGCUCACAUGGUUUGGUGACGACAUGCUGUUUGUCAUUAGCUUUUCCAGUCUUUGUUAUUCCCAACUAUGUUUGUAGCUAUCCUUCCAAGGUCACUUCACCACCGUCCUUGUCUCUUCAUGGGGCCACUGUGGAAUCUUGAACAGAAAACUGUGCAGAUGAGUUUUGGAGGAACCCGAGGAUGGAGAAAGAAGGCGGCCCUCUCUCUACAAGCCAUCAACACAAUGUGCUGGGACUUUGAUCUUGGACUUUCAACCUCCAGAACUGUGAAGAAAUCAACUUCUUUUGCUUAAUCCACCCAACCUAUGCCAGCCACCAGCCAUGGACACGUCUCCACACACCCCGCCCUGUUCCACAGGCCUGGCAUGGACAGAGGUGAAGCCGAGGGCACUGUCCACUCCAGAACAGAUUGGUCUUGUCUGCAUGGGGAUGGGCAGAACCACAGAGGAACCUCCCUCAGGGCAGUUGUGGGAAACACACCUGCACAUGAAGGGCAUCGGAUGCAGGACAGCUCUUCUCCCUGUGGCUGAGCGGCUCAGCGAUGGGGGCUUGAUUUUACCCACGGAUUUCUUAUGGAAUCCCACAGAACCAUAGGUGGACACAACUUCAGAGUCUGCCACUGGUACCCACUCAUCCACAUCCACAUGGUAUGUUACCCCACCUCUGUAUCUGUGACACCAGAAUGACAAGCCGCUCACUGAUGUGGUAAUGCUGAGUGCUAGGGUGAGGGCUGGGACUCUGAGCUGGGCAAUCUCUGAGCCCCAUCCUGUGUCUCAGAACUGGCCAUCCUCUUCUUCCUCCACCACCAUCCAGCCCCACGUGGCUCGACUGAAGUCCCGGAGAAGCCUUUGGGGCUGCUCCCUGCCGCUGCCUCUGCCCCUGUAGGGAGAGCUGUUGGCCCAGAAGUGGGAUGAACCGGGGUCACCAGGAGGCCAGGACUGGUGCCUGCUGCUGGCUGCAUCUCACCCUGCAGAUGUGACCUUUGACCCCUCCAGGAGGUUUGCUUUCGG
rnacentral:lncRNA from 1 species